GAUGAACGCUAGCGGCAGGCUUAAUACAUGCAAGUCGAGGGGCAGCAUGACUGUAGCAAUACAGUUGAUGGCGACCGGCAAACGGGUGCGGAACACGUACAGAACCUUCCUUCGAGCGGGGAAUAGCCCAGAGAAAUUUGGAUUAAUACCCCAUAGUAUAUUUGAAAGGCAUCUUUUAAAUAUUAAAGAUUUAUCACUUGAAGAUGGCUGUGCGGCUGAUUAGGUAGUUGGCGGGGUAACGGCCCACCAAGCCUGCGAUCAGUAACUGGUGUGAGAGCACGACCAGUCACACGGGCACUGAGACACGGGCCCGACUCCUACGGGAGGCAGCAGUAAGGAAUAUUGGUCAAUGGACGAAAGUCUGAACCAGCCAUGCCGCGUGGAGGAUGAAGGUCCUCUGGAUUGUGAACUUCUUUUAUAUGGGACGAAAAAAGACUUUUCUAAGUCGUCUGACGGUACCAUAUGAAUAAGCACCGGCUAACUCCGUGCCAGCAGCCGCCGUAAUAC
rnacentral:rRNA from 1 species